rnacentral:tRNA from 1 species
GGAGAGGUGGCCGAGUGGCUGAAGGCAUCUUCCUGCUAAGAAGAAACGGUUUAAUUGCCGUCGUGGGUUCAAAUCCCACUCUCUCCG